rnacentral:rRNA from 1 species
ACGAGUGGCGAACGGGUGAGUAAUAUAUCGGAACGUACCAUUCAGUGGGGGAUAACGUAGCGAAAGUUACGCUAAUACCGCAUAUUCUGUGAGCAGGAAAGCAGGGGAUCGCAAGACCUUGCGCUGAUUGAGCGGCCGAUAUCAGAUUAGCUUGUUGGUGAGGUAAAAGCUCACCAAGGCGACGAUCUGUAGCGGGUCUGAGAGGAUGAUCCGCCACACUGGAACUGAGACACGGUCCAGACUCCUACGGGAGGCAGCAGUGGGGAAUUUUGGACAAUGGGGGCAACCCUGAUCCAGCCAUGCCGCGUGAGUGAAGAAGGCCUUCGGGUUGUAAAGCUCUUUCAGCCGGGAAGAAAACGCAUGGGUUAAUGCCCUGUGUGGAUGACGGUACCGGAAUAAGAAGCACCGGCUAACUACGUGCCAGCAGCCGCGGUAAUACGUAGGGUGCGAGCGUUAAUCGGAAUUACUGGGCGUAAAGCGUGCGCAGGCGGUUUUGUAAGACAGGCGUGAAAUCCCCGGGCUUAACCUGGGAACUGCGUUUGUGACUGCAAGGCUAGAGUACGGCAGAGGGGGGUGGAAUUCCACGUGUAGCAGUGAAAUGCGUAGAGAUGUGGAGGAACACCAAUGGCGAAGGCAGCCCCCUGGGUCGAUACUGACGCUCAUGCACGAAAGCGUGGGUAGCAAACAGGAUUAGAUACCCUGGUAGUCCACGCCCUAAACGAUGUCAACUAGGUGUUGGGAGGGUAAAACCUUUUAGUACCGGAGCUAACGCGUGAAGUUGACCGCCUGGGGAGUACGGCCGCAAGGUUAAAACUCAAAGGAAUUGACGGGGACCCGCACAAGCGGUGGAUGAUGUGGAUUAAUUCGAUGCAACGCGAAAAACCUUACCUACCCUUGACAUGCCAAGAACUUUCCAGAGAUGGAUUGGUGCCCGAAAGGGAACUUGGACACAGGUGCUGCAUGGCUGUCGUCAGCUCGUGUCGUGAGAUGUUGGGUUAAGUCACGCAACGAGCGCAACCCUUGUCGUUAAUUGCCAUCAUUUAGUUGGGCACUUUAACGAGACUGCCGGUGACAAACCGGAGGAAGGUGGGGAUGACGUCAAGUCCUCAUGGCCCUUAUGGGUAGGGCUUCACACGUCAUACAAUGGUCGGUACAAAGGGUCGCCAAGCCGCGAGGUGGAGCCUCUCAGAAAGCCGAUCGUAGUCCGGAUCGCAGUCUGCAACUCGACUGCGUGAAGUCGGAAUCGCUAGUAAUCGUGGAUCAGAAUGUCACGGUGAAUACGUUCCCGGGUCUUGUACACACCGCCCGUCACACCAUGGGAGCGGGUUCCGCCAGAAGUAGGUAGCCUAACCGCAAGGAGGGCGCUUACCACGGCGGGGUUCGUGACUGGGGUGAAGUCGUAACAAGGUA